rnacentral:rRNA from 1 species
UACGAAGGGGGGCUAGCGUUGUUCGGAUUUACUGGGCGUAAAGCGCACGUAGGCGGAUCGAUCAGUCAGGGGUGAAAUCCCAGGGCUCAACCCUGGAACUGCCUUUGAUACUGUCGAUCUGGAGUAUGGAAGAGGUGAGUGGAAUUCCGAGUGUAGAGGUGAAAUUCGUAGAUAUUCGGAGGAACACCAGUGGCGAAGGCGGCUCACUGGCCCGAUACCGACGCUGAGGUGCGAAAGCGUGGGGAGCAAACAGG